rnacentral:miRNA from 1 species
UGCUGCAUCAGGUGCUUGUGACU